CUGCAUUUUAGUUUCUUACAUUUGAUGUACAAGCAAUUCAUCUUUCCUGCUUCUUAUUGUUAAGGAAACAAUCCUUUCAUGAAUAUCAUUCAUUCUUGCAUGAUAUUGACAAGUGCAUUCAACCUUUUUGCUUGCUUACUGCAAUAUUGAAAUGUUUAUUUAUACUAUUCAUAACUGCAUUCUAUGUUUUUCUUCGCGCCUACUGAAUGUAACGAGCAAUUAUUAACUUCCUUGUGGAUCUUUCGUAUUUCUUAACUUGAUUGUUACUGCCUUUUGGAAUUUACAUUAUUCAUGUUUGCAGCCAUUUGGUUCAAUACAACGAAAAUUUUAUUCUGGUAAGUGCAUUAUAACAUUACAGGGAACCAAUAAAAAUGUCAAAUUCUAGCGCAAAUUACUAUAUACGGGAGACCACUCUCGACAGCAAAUUCAGGUGUUCGGCAGUUUCCGUGGGUUAAACGGUGAGAGAGUCCAAACUUACCCGUCUACUUCCGUACUUGUGUUGUUACUGGGUGUGUUUUCGUUGGAAAUGAUGAUGCGGGAAGUUUUGUCUUUAAAUGAGUUAUUAUCAACAAACGAAUAGAUCGUUCGAUUGGAAUUACAGAACAUACACUACUACUGACUGACAGGGAUAUAUCUUGUCGGCAAAGGAGCUGGUCAUGGACCUUUGCCGUCCUUUAUCCAGAGCCUUCCACAGCGAUGGCAGAUAUAUUGCUGCUUGGAUCAACACUUGACCACGCCGUUGAGUCCAGGAUCUCAGUGGCAGCCAUGACAACAUCAACAGAAUGACAUCUGCAUACAUUUUGCACCUCUUCCUUGUGCUGUCAGACUGAAACAUCUCUGACAGAAUGAAGUGAAUGAAUCCCCAGGAUUGUUCCUCAGGAAAAUCUCUUCAACCAGCUGUUGACAGUUUGCAUGCUCUUUGGAUGGAAUUACCUUAGCUUGGCUUCCAGAGAAUCUGUUAUUUAAAAAAACUGGGCUGCUUUGUGUUAUUGAUUUAUUGACCUUAAAUGUAAUUUAUAUGUAUUUUGCCACUAUUGUAAAAACAAUGGGCAUAUACACUAGCAUAUGUUUGCAAACAGACACAUUUUAUUUUUGUAAAUAUCUUGAAAAUACAUUUUGUAGGUUGACCUCAGACCAUGAAAGAUUAAUGGUAGGUUAUCUUUGACCAGAACAUGACCAGUAUUGUUUUUAAAGUUUGUUGGUCAAAGGUGAUGGUCAUGGCAAACAGUGGUUAUUCUGCACAAUGACUCUUAAAUUAUUUGACCUAAUACCAUUGAUAUUUAGUGAUUGGUAUAUCAGUCCAACACAUAUGUAACAGGGUCCUGCUGAAAUUCAGCAAGAGCUUAUAAGCAUUGCAAAUCAUUAUUUGUGCAUGUAACUGUAAAUACUAUUACGCUUUGUGUCAGAAACUUGACCAUCACAAAUUAGGGUCAUUGUUGAUCUUAUCUUGUUUCAUUAUUUUGCAUGUUUUGUCUCAGAAGCAUCCUUCAUUUAAGAUUAAACAAUAGAACAGAUCUCAAUUGUGUGAAAAAUUGCUGAAAAUUUUAAUUUUCUUAAAGCCUCUAUAAGUAACUUUUGUAGCCAUAAAACAUCGAUUAUCAAUUCAAGGGGGUGAAAUAAAAAGGUUCUAUCUGCUUCUUUAUUUAAUGUCACUUGGAACCUUUUUGCAUUCGCCCAUGUUAUUGGAAAUUUAAGAAAAAACUAUCUGAUCUUUUGACAGCAGUCAUAUAUAUCACUGUUUUCUAGACAUCUAGCAAAAAAAUACCUCAUUCCAAGACAAUUAAGAUGUCAAAUCAGUUGAUCCGGCUGUGAGAGAGCAGCUUUAAACAAAGACUAUAUGAUAUGUUAUGUUUCAGAGCCAAUGUUUUUGUAUAAUUAUAUAAAAAGUUUUGCAUUUACAUGUUAUUAAAUCUGUGUAAUUUA